AUAAUGAUACUUCUGUUCAACGCAGCCCGGUCAGAGUUAGGCGGGGUGGCUGAGAUGCUAAUGG
ncrna:unclassified sequences pemK RNA